CCUCUGCCUCACACUGCUGUCUGACUGCAUUCAGCUGACAGUGAGAUGAAGCAGAAAAGAAGCAGUUGAUAUUUGGACAGCACACAUGAUGGAAAGGAGGAUUUCAGUUGAUGUGCACAUGAAUGAUUUGUGUUUCCUCUGCAGGUGAAGGUAGAAAGUGUGUUUGAGCUGAUGUGGAUGUGAAGUCAGCAGCAUGGGUCAGUGUGUGGGAAGACAGCAAGCUCAGAGGAACCAACCUGGACAUCCAGAUAGACAUAGAGUGAGGGUUCAACCUGUACCUGACUAUGAGGCCUUCAUCAUUAUGAAGGGGGGCGGAACCAGAGAUUCAACAUAUGAAUCAAUUGACACAAGGUAAUUAAAACCAAUGCGAAAUGAAAUGAGAACAAAAUGUUUUUUCCAGACUGUUGUUAGUCCAAGUUUAAAAUCUCCUCACAUUUCAUCUAUAACACCACUAAUGUGAUG